AUAGAAUUUUCAUAUUUUUGUUUGUGGUUUUGGUGAAAUGAAUUUCAUGUCUUCUUUGGUUGACUUGUUUUCCAAAACUGUAAGUUAUUGUUAUCGAUGUUGUCGUUUAUUAUUGUUUACAGCUGGGCUCGUUUGUUCACGCUUUUCAUUACGUUUCCAGUUGGCUUUGAUGAAACUGAAAUGUCCUUUUCGUUUGCUGAUUAUCAAAAACAGAAUUCCCACUCAGUUCUAAACAAUCAUCAGUGUUAUUGUAAUCAUAAGACACCAGUACAGGCCAGCGAUUUUGACCAGAAUUCCGACCGGUUCUCUGGCGGUCAUAACUGUCAAAAUGUAUCUCGCGCUACAACACCUGUACCUGUAGAUGUGAGAAUUCCUGCUGCAAACCAGAACCAAAAUAGUAUUGACAGUCAGAAUCAAGUUGAACAAAACCGUCCUCCGAAAUUAUACAGGCAAAACACUUACCAGUCGAUAUCCAUUGGCUACUCACAUAGUUUAAAACACGAGUAUCUGCCUUAUUUAAACAUACACGGAAACAUUACCAGGACUUUCCCGUUAGAAAGGUCUCUAACUUCAACUUGGAACAUAUCAUCUACAAUUCACAAAGAAAGAAAGAAUACUGCUUGUAGAAAUCCAAACUCGAAGAAUUCUAAAAAGAAGUUCGAAGAGCAGAAAAGUGGACAUUUGACGAAAGCAUUGCUUAAGAAGUCUUACAGUUCACCGCCGGCCGAAAGAACGGCUGUAGUGGAAACGAGAACUCAAGAACCUACAGCGAGUGAAAAUAAGAACCGCUCGAAUACGUCGGAAAAUUCGCAACCAAUGGCCAGCAGCCAUUAUUCAGGCUACAAUUAUGCGCCCUUCAAUACAGCUUCUGCGACUCACUACCCCGUGGCGCCCAUCCACAAACGGGGUCUAGGAGGAGCCAUACCUAUGGUCCACCCAGCACACCAUAGUAGAUACAGGGAAGAGGACAUGAAAUCAACCAGAUUGUGUAUACUCCUCCAUACAAUAUAUGUAUAGCUCGAGUUAUUUGUUACAGAAAAAAUAGCCCGAAAGAAAU